GGACUACUGGGGUAUCUAAUCCUGUUUGCUCCCCACGCUGUCGCGCAUCAGUGUCAGAAACUGCCCAGCAGACCGCCUUCGCCACCGGUCUUCCUCCGGAUCUCUACGCAUUCCACCGCUACACCCGGAAUUCCGUCUGCCUCUACAGCCCUCGAGUUUGACAGUCGGCACGGCAGAUCCGGGGUUGAGCCCCGGACUUUCACCACACCCUUAUCAAACCACCUACGCGCCCUUUACGCCCAGUGAUUCCGGACAACGCUCGCACCCCCCGUAUUACCGCGGCUGCUGGCAC
rnacentral:rRNA from 1 species